ensembl:snRNA U1 U1 spliceosomal RNA
AUACUUACCUGGCAGGGGAGUCACCAUGAUCAGGAAGGUGGUUUGCCCAGGGCGAGGCCCACCCAUUGCACUGCGGGUGUGCUGACCCCUGUGAUUUCCCCAAAUGCGGGAAACUCAACUGCAUAAUUUGUGGUAGUGGGGGACUGUGUUUGUGCUGUCCCCUG